rnacentral:rRNA from 1 species
UACGAGGGGGGCAAGCGUUGUUCGGAAUUAUUGGGCGUAAAGGGUGCGUAGGCGGUCUGACAAGUCUGAUGUGAAAUCUAUGGGCUCAACCCAUAGUCGUGCAUCGGAAACUGUCGGGCUUGAGUAUGGGAGAGGUGAGUGGAAUUUCCGGUGUAGCGGUGAAAUGCGUAGAUAGUUGGGAAGAACACCGGGUGGCGAAGGCGGUCUCACUGG